rnacentral:tRNA from 1 species
GUGGGGAUAGCUCAGUUGGGAGAGCUUCAGACUGAAGAUCUGAAGGUCAUGUGUUCAAUCCACGUUUAGCGCA